GACAUCGUACGUGUAUUAACUAACAUUGGCUGGUCUUUCUCGACCAAUUAGAGACUCGUUAAUAUUCGGCGAAGGAUCACGUGACCCACGCGAUUCUCUUUUGUCACGUUCAUUUCUCCGGCGAUCUUCGACGCGGCGUGUUGGCUCAGUGAGAAAUUAUCGACAUAACCUUACAACGCGUGAUAGAAGAAGGACCGAUAAGAAAAUGGCCGAUCGAACGAUAGAACGAUAGAACGAGAUAAAUGAGAACGGACCUAUGCAGUUCCCUUUCGACGAGGAGAGAAAGGAAAAGAGGAGACACACACAUACACACACGUAAGACGUUGAUUCUUCGUUGGAGUAACAAAUGGGCGAGGUUUACGUUGAAGCAAUAAAGUCCUCUUCUCGUAUCGCUUCGAUCAGGAGACGGAAGAGAUACGGAAGAGAAGGAAAGAGGAAGAAAGGAGGAAAGAAGGAUGGAAGAGAAACGUGAGUCGCACAAGUAGGCCUACGAGACGAGGAUGAUUGCGAGGAAUAAAAGUCGCAGGGUGUGACUGAUCGUUUAUUCCGUCGGGUUGGGAUGAGACGCCGAAAAGAGGUUUCGUUUGCUAUGAUUCAUCCAGAAGAAGAAGAAGAAGAAGAAAGAAGAGGACGAAGAAGAAGAAGAAGAAAAAACAAAAACAUUUCGUAAAUUAAAAGAAAUAAAUAUUGUCAUAGAGGUUAAAGACGAAGGGCAAAAAACAAGGACACGAGAGUGAAGAAACAAAAGCGUAAUAACUUCGUUAGAUAAUCAUUGUAGAAUUGAUAGAUCGAUCGAAUUGGGGAUUGGCUGAGGACAAACGCAUGGUAGUGAGUAUUACGAACAGUAGAUAAACCGACCGACCGACCAAUCGACCUAUCGAACCCCUCUUCUUCUUAUUCCUCACGAGAGGAGAAUCUAAUCAAACAUUUAUGCUAAAUCACGAAACAAUCCGUACGAAAUCAGCAAAUAAAAGGGCUCGACCAAUGAAUGUCGAAGCCCUCGCUUGUGUUCCCUUUCUCUCUCUCUCUCUCUCUCUCUCUCUCUCUCUUUCUCUCCCAUUUCGCAGCCCUUAAAGCCCUUACAUCGUUGGUCAUUUGAAUCUCCUAUUUACUCGUCCAUACUGGACAAAAAGUUGAUGGACAUUCCGUACCGGACAAAAGGCACUCUUCGUGAUGCUGCAGAGUGAAGAGAAGAUAGAUAGAAAGAGAAAGAGAGAGAAAGAGAGAGAGAUAGAGAGAACGGUAUGUAAAUUCUUAGUCAGGCAGACGGUCGCGAGAGUAUUUGGCUUUGAAACGCAUUUGCAUGGGCCACACAUUUGUGGCGACUACUAUAGCUCGGCCUCUAUCCUGAUUGCCCUCGUUUAUUAAGAUUAACUUUUCUCGCUCUAAUCUCGGUGUCUCCCUAGAGCGGUCCUUUAAUAUUACCGAAGUUCCAUUGUGAUAUCUCGACGAUCUUUGUCCGUCUUUCUCUUUCUCUUUUAGUUACGAUUUAAACUAUGGAAAUGUUGCAUCGAAAAGUGUGAUAGAUUUUGCAUAUAUAUAUAUAUAUAUAUAUAUAUAUAUAUAUAUAUAUAUAUAUUUAAAUGUAUAUAUGAUGCAAUGUAAUACGCAUGCAAUGCAUGUAUAUACGAUUUAAACUUGGAAAUGUUGCAUCAAAAAUUGUGAUAAAUUUUGCAUGUAUAUAUUUUACUUAUAUUUAUUAUAUAUAUUGUAUACAUAUUUAGUGUAUAUUUAUUACAUUUAUUGUAUAUUAUAUAUAAUUGUAAUUAUAUAGUUAUAUAUAUAUAUAUUUUUGAAUCUAUAUAUAUUAAAAUGAAAAAUUCGUACUCUCUUCAUAAAAUCUCACGACUGACAUUAAACGUUGUAAAAGCGAUGUAAUAACUAGGUUUAUGCGUGCUCUUGUAUACAAACACGUACACAUAUACCAACUACUUCUAUAUUUGUCUCUUACUUUUUCUUUUUUCUUUUUAACUUCUAAGAUUUCUUGCAUCAUUAACGGGUAAUAAUAAGAAAAUUGAAGUCGAGUAACCGUAGAUCCCGCAUGACUUGAAAGUAACGAUUAAAGUUCUGACAUUAUUAUUUCUCUUCUAGGUAGGCGUAUCACGCUUUUACGCAGAUACGUAUAUAUUUACAGGUAGCGAACAGUAUUAUCCGUAUGUAUUUCUCUUCGUCUUCGUCGUCGUUGUAACAACUAUUAACCGUUUCUAUGGAUUCACGCUUUUUCAUAGAAAUAAUUAUCCGCAUUUUACCGUAUCGCCAUUUGUCUCGUGAUCCUUGCGUGAGUAAUAAAUAUGUUUCUCGCGAGACACGCGUUACACAUAUUUACGAAUAAAUACACACAUACAUAUACGUACAUAUAUAUAUGUGUGUAAUACGUAGAAACAUAAUUUUCUAUCUCGUUUCUAUUACGAUAUCUCAUUAAAUUCUUUUCCAAAGUAACUCUCGUUCGAUCGAUGCAUUUCUCUCUCUCUCUCUAUCUCUUUUAUCUUUUUUCUUUUUUUUUUUUUAUUAUAACUCCGUUUUUUUCUUUUUUAUUUUCUUUCCUUUUUUUCGUUUGAUUUUUAUGAAUGAAACCAAUUUAAUUGGAUUAUAACUAAUUACAUUAAGGUUCCAUCGGGUUUUAUAAUAAUACCACGUUGUAAUAUCGUUGAAACGAGUAGAGAGUAACAUCGGCCACCUGAAUUUUCUGCUUUUAAAAGCUUUUAAAUUUCCGCCGACCCCGGAUAGAUAGGUAAUUAUUAUGCGUACGCGUCUCUGGCCGAAUACAAAUUGAAUUAUAUCGAACCGAGUGAUUUACUUUACGUUUUUGUUAUCUAUAUAGAGGCUAUACAUAUAGGAUGACAUUGUAUUGUUAAUGGUUAUGUAGUGGAACAGAAGAACAAGGAGGAGGAGAAGGAGGAGGAGGAGGAGGAGGAAGAAGAGGAAGAGUAAGAGUAAGAGUAAAAGGGUGGGAGAGAGACAAUUCGAGAGGGGGACCCUCCUAAUCUGGAAAAGUCACCCUGUUAUAUAAUACAACGCUUGAUUACAUCGGCCAUAGUCACUCGCACUCCUCUCGACGGUAGAAAUAAAGUCUCUGUGUCAUUUAUCAAACUCGAUGCCAUCGCCCAUUCUUUCUUUCUCUCUCUUUCUCUCUCUUUCUCUCUCUUUCUGUUUUUCUUUUCCUCUGUCUCUCUAAUUCACUAUACCUCAUUCAAUCUUUUUCUUUUCUUAAUAAAAGAAACGUGAUUUUUGCGAAACAAUUUGUAUUGUCAGAUUUUCUAUUUUUGGAUCGAUCUCUUUCGAUAUAUAUAUGUGUAUAUAUAUAUAUAACUUUGACAUAGUUUGAGAAAACGAAAUGUAGAAUAAUGUUUCUCUCUCUCUCUCUCUCUCUCUCUUUCUCUUUCUAAUCUCGUCGACAUCGUCAUUCCAUCCUCGUAUCAUUCUACUCGUGCUUUGAAUUCGUUUACCUACGAUCUUUCGAUUCGAUCUCUCGUCGAUGAUUUUCUUUGGCAAAGGAGGGUUGAGAAAUCGAAGACGUUAUAUCAUCGUAUAAAUCCAUUCGAGAUUAGUUAUCUUUAUUCUUGCCGUGUAUUUCACCGAAAUAAAUUUGUAUAUAUUAGAAUAACGUUUAGAAUCGAUAUGUAUGUAAGUAACUAUCUAUCUAUUUAUCUCUCUCUCUCUCUCUCUUUCUCUCUGUUUCUUUCUAUAUAUAUACAUACAUACAUAUAUACGUAAGUACAUAACUAGUAUGUUACCUACGUAAGUACGUACCGUAAGUAGUAAGUACUCGAAUCAAAUCCCGUUUAAAUUUCGAGUUAAACAUUUUACAAAGAGGGUUAUUCAUCUUCUAAAUCUAACAAGUAACCCUCUCUGAUGAUUCUCCUCCUCCUCUUUCUCCUUUUUUAAAGUACCAGUCGAGUUUUUAUGAGGAGGACCAAACGAUAAGCGCAUGAAACGAUAGAGAACGAUACAUCCGAAUGCGUUUUAGCGUGGAUCAAAUGCAUUACAUGUCUACAGUCAGACAGAGAGAGAGAAAAAGAGAAAGAGAGAGAGAGAGAGAGAGAGAGAAAAAGAGAAAGAGAAAGCUCGUCGUAGCAGACCGCAGGCAUAUACACGAAGCUUAUAGGCUGCAUGCGGAAAGGAUUACAUUGUCGGCCGUGAAACUAUUGACUAGUAUUCGCGUGGGCGUUUUAAACGAGCAACGACAACAUUUUCUCUGUUAUCCAUGAAACGGUUUAAACUGUCAUUACCUGUCGAUCAAAGAAAGGAAGCCGAUCGAUGAUCGCGCACUCGUAUGUCAGAUUUGCUUGGAACAAUGGCAGGCCGCGUGUACCAACACGUCGGAUCAAGACUUAAUAACGCACUCGUCUCAACAGAUUUCGACUUUGCUACCGAAAUUUGCUACCGAUAUCGUCCUGUACGAGUCCCUUUUGCUUUUCGGCAUCCCACUAAAUCAUCCUUCAGUGAUGAGCUUAUAUUCUUUUUUUUUUUUUUACAAAUUUUUCUUUCUUUUUCCUUAUUUCGUUUCUCUCUCUCUCUCUCUCUCUGUCUCUCUUUUUUACAGAGUAAAUAACAAAUCGUAAGAAACAUUGAUACGUCGUUAAGUCUGUGCAUACUCGUUCGGUCGUUUUUGAAUGUUUAAAAUACUUGAAGUUAACUGUCGAGAGUUAAUUCGUGUUAUAUUCGAGUCAAGUAUUCUGUGGAUUUAAAAGAAGGAGAGAAAGAAAGAGAGAGAGAUAAGGAGAUAGGAUAGUGCUUCCAAACAUCGUCGUAAAAAUUGGUUAGCUCUCGACAGAAAGGAACGCUUGGUAAUAUCCUUGAGAAGGUGCUAAAAUCUGGAGCAUAAACACUGACCGCGACGUAAAAUAAGACUCGGAGUAUCGAAUCGUUUUAUCUCUCUUUCUUUCUCUUCCUCUUUCUCUCUCUCUCUUUCUUUCCCUCUCCAUCCCCUUUGUAAGUCUACUCUUCUCCUCUUUCUACUCUUUCCUACUUUUCUUCGGCCAGCAUAAAUCACUGCCGCCUUCGUAUUUAUAUUCAUAGGCGCGUUGAGGAAGAUUGAAGAGCCACGGUACCGCUGGGAGUUGCUCGUAAAAUCCGUUAGAUUGUAAAAUAUUGUUGCGACGAACCGAAAGGCCGAACAUCAGCAACAGCAACAACAACGCAACAACAACGUUCACGGCUUCCACGCUUGAAAAAGUUCACGCGUGGAAAAGUUCAAAUGCGAUACGUUCAUCUUAUGAACGUUCUUGUUGUCUACGUUGCACGGUCUUUUAGAUCGAUGUUAUUUUAAUCUUCUUUCUCUUUUUUUUUUUUCUUUAUGAGUUUCUUCUUCAGCAUCAUUCCGAUAUCGAUUUCGUUGAUAUUAGAAAGUAAUAAUAAUAAAAAAAAAUAAAUAAAUAAAAGAAAAAAGAAGUAAAUGAUUUUCUUCAAUUAUUUCUAAUCCUAUCGUACAAAACAAUCAUGGAGACUCAAGAAGAUAAUCAAUUUAACUCAAUGGUAUUAUAUAGUGUCUAACAGUCAUGAUCGUUACGGUCGUGAUCACGGUGAGAGAGGGCGGAAAAGGGGGAGGGGAGUACAAGGAGGGUGAGUAUGGGGGAAAAGAGAGAUGAGUCUCUCUUCCUUCGAGUCCUUUUUCACGUCCUAUGUUGUUGUUAUUGUGGUUGUUGUUGUUGUUGUUGUUGUUGUUGUUGUACAUGGAAUUACGAUACGUCGUAAUAACGUAAUGAUUUACCACACGAGGUAAAAUCUUCGGACACAUCCUCUCCGAGUCGUUGGAAAUGAAGAAAAUUAAGGAUAAUCGGGAUAGUUUCGAAUUAAGACGAUAUUAUUGUAGAGGAUCGUUAUGCUCCGGGUAAUUACGUUUCGAUCCUUGAAAUUGGAAUAAUCAGUUUAGCUAUUAGACUAGGAAACUCGAGAAAUGUUAUCGAUCAUCUUGAUUUGUCUUAUCUUUUGUUAAAUACUUUAUUACUAUUUUUAGAGAAUUUAUUAGAGAAGAAAGCAAAGCGUUAUACAUAUAUAUAUAAUUUAUAAAUAUAAUAGAAUAUUUUAUUAUAAGUAGAAUAUACAUACACCUAAGUAAGAUAUUUAAAAUAUUUUAUAUAUACAUAUAUAUGUGUGUGUGUUGUGUGUGUAUAUAUAUAUAUAGCCAUUACAAUAUUCUAUUUAUAAUUAAUAAAAUAUUUUAUAAAAUUUUAAUACAUUUUGCAGUAAACCAUUGUUGGAUAUCUUCGUUGGAUAUGACGUAAUUGUAAAUAUUUGUAACUCUAGGUACGGUACAUAUAACAAUGAGUGUUGUUCAAUGAUUUAGAAGGUCGGACGUAUUCACGGACGAAAAAUAUUGUUAGUCAUUCUUCUAUCGUCCUUUGUUAUUUCUCUUUCUCUCUGUAUCUCUAUUUCUUUCUUUCUUUCUUUCUUUCUUUCUUUCUUUCUUCAACUAAAUAUAUAAUAAUAUUUAUGCGUGUUAGAGACUAGUCACAUAGAGAAAGAGAGUGGGAGAGAGAGGGUGUCGCCGGUCGAGACUAGUUGGAAACCGCAGACUCGUAAGUAACGUUCGUCUGGCGGAAGUCUACGCGUAACGUCGAUGAGUAAUGCGACGUGAAUGGCCAGUUAUUAAUCAUUAUACCUAACGGAUACGUACAUCUCUGAUAUAAGGAAGAAGAUGCCUUUGGAAUAUCAACGUCUUGUGCUAUUUUGUACAAUAUUAAAGGCGAUUGGAAACGUCAGAACUAUGUCUGGCCGAGCAAACCGUACUAUUGAUGUUUGUUGACGCAUAUCAGAUGUACGCAUUGGUACGUGCAAACGGAGAGGAGAGGACACGUCAAUCCAUUAACCCUAGCGUGCAUCCUUGAUUACUAUGCUGGUAAUAACGUUAAUCAAGUGCUAAGAUUAAUUUGCUGCCAUACUAACGGCGUUGUUGGAUGGUAAGGUAUAACUAAGUAUGUAACACUUAGUAGAUUUCGUAAUGUACGUCGUGUAAUAAACUAUUCGAAUAUAGAUGUUAAUUAUUUUGAUUAACUUAAGAUAGGAUCAGUUUUAACGAGAGGAUAUUAUUAGAAUCGUAUUUGUUUUUCUUAUACAUUAUAUACUCUAUACAU